rnacentral:misc_RNA from 1 species
GAAAUGCGAUAAGUAAUGUGAAUUGCAGAAUUCAGUGAAUCAUCGAAUCUUUGAACGCACCUUGCGCUCCUUGGUAUUCCUUGGAGCAUGCCUGUUUGAGUAUCAUGAAAUCUUCAAAGUAAAUCUUUUGUUAACUCAAUUGGUUUCUACUGGUAUUGGAGGUCUUUGCAGCUUCACACCUGCUCCUCUUUGUUCAUUAGCUGGAUCUCAGUGUUAUGCUUGGUUCCACUCGGCGUGAUAAGUUAUCUAUCGCUGAGGACACUGUAAAAGGUGGCCAAGGUAAAUGCAGAUGAACCGCUUCUAAUAGUCCAUUGACUUGGACAAUACUUUUAUGAUCUGAUCUCAAAUCAGGUAGGACUACCCGCUGAACUUAAGC